rnacentral:rRNA from 1 species
AUUGAACGCUGGCGGCAGGCCUAACACAUGCAAGUUGAGCGGAGCGGCGGACGGGUGGGUAAUGCCCGGGAAUCUGACUGGCAGUUGGGGAUAAUGUCCGGAAAAGGGCGCUAAUACCGCAUACUAUCAGACGAGCCUAGGUAGGAUUAUCUAGUUGGUGGGGUAAAGGCCUACCAAGGCGACGAUCCGUAACUGGGCUGAGAGGAUGAUCAGUCACACUGGAACUGAGACACGGUCCAGACUCCUACGUGAGGCAGCAGUGGGGAAUAUUGGACAAUGGGCGAAAGCCUGAUCCAGCCAUGCCGCGUGUGUGAAGAAGGUCUUCGGAUUGUAAAGCACUUUAAGUUGGGAGGCGUUACCAACAGAAUAAGCACCGGCUAACGUCGUGCCAGCAGCCGCGGUAAUUC